rnacentral:rRNA from 1 species
GACGAACGCUGGCGGCGUGCUUAACACAUGCAAGUCGAACGGUAAGGCCCUUCGGGGUACACGAGUGGCGAACGGGUGAGUAACACGUGGGUGAUCUGCCCUGCACUUCGGGAUAAGCCUGGGAAACUGGGUCUAAUACCGGAUAGGACCACUGCCUGCAUGGGUGGUGGUGGAAAGCUUUUGCGGUGUGGGAUGGGCCCGCGGCCUAUCAGCUUGUUGGUGGGGUGAUGGCCUACCAAGGCGACGACGGGUAGCCGGCCUGAGAGGGUGACCGGCCACACUGGGACUGAGAUACGGCCAGACUCCUACGGGAGGCAGCAGUGGGGAAUAUUGCACAAUGGGCGCAAGCCUGAUGCAGCGACGCCGCGUGAGGGAUGACGGCCUUCGGGUUGUAAACCUCUUUUAGCAGGGAAGAAGCGAAAGUGACGGUACCUGCAGAAAAAGCACCGGCUAACUACGUGCCAGCCGCCGCCGUAA